UGAGGAAUNUUGNNCAAUGGACGGAAGUCUGAACCAGCCAAGUAGCGUGCAGGAUGACGGCCCUAUGGGUUGUAAACUGCUUUUGUAUGGGGAUAAAGUCAAUCACGUGUGAUUGUUUGCAGGUACCAUACGAAUAAGGACCGGCUAAUUCCGUGCCAGCAGCCGCGGUAAUACGGAAGGUUCGGGCGUUAUCCGGAUUUAUUGGGUUUAAAGGGAGCGUAGGCCGGAGAUUAAGUGUGUUGUGAAAUGCAGGUGCUCAACGUCUGCACUGCAGCGCGAACUGGUCCACUUGAGUGUGCACAACGCAGGCGGAAUUCGUCGUGUAGCGGUGAAAUGCUUAGAUAUGACGAAGAACUCCGAUUGCGAAGGCAGCUUGCGGGAGCACAACUGACGCUGAAGCUCGAAAGUGCGGGUAUCGAACAGGAUUAGAUACCCUGGUAGUCCGCACGGUAAACGAUGGAUGCCCGUUGUCAGGCUGUUUCAGCCUGGUGACCAAGCGAAAGCAUUAAGCAUCCCACCUGGGGAGUACGCCGGCNACGGUG
rnacentral:rRNA from 1 species